rfam:Candidatus Yonathbacteria bacterium RIFOXYC2_FTLL_47_9 rifoxyc2_full_scaffold_972, whole genome shotgun sequence.
UAGUAGGAAAUUAAGAGCAUAUGGUGGAUGCCUUGGUUCUCAAAGGCGAUGAAAGACGUGGUAUGGCUGCGAUAAGCUUCGGGGAGGUGCCUAGCAACCUUUGAUCCGGAGAUUUCUGAAUGGGGAAACCCUAUGACCGUAACAGGUUGUAACCCUUUAUUAAGGGAGCAUACCCAGGGAAGUGAAACAUCUCAGUACCUGGAGGAAAAUAAAAAAACCCGCCGAAUGGCGGAACAUUUCCUGAAUAGCGGCGAGCGAAACGGAAAUAGCCCAAACCUAUUAUUUAUAAUAGGGGUUGUAAGGCAGAGACGUCGUAUUUAUACGAGAAAAGUUACAAAAUGUUUUGUUAGUUGAACAUGCUGGAAAGCAUGGCCCUAGACGGUGAUAGCCCGGUAAACGAAAACAAAACAUCUUUUUUGUCUCUGUUCUUGAGUACUUCGAGACAUGAAUAGCUCGGGGGAAUCCAGCAGAACUAACUGCUAAGGCUAAAUACUUUGAGAAACCGAUAGUGAACUAGUACCGUGAGGGAAAGGUGAAAAGAACCCCGGUGAGGGGAGUGAAAUAGAACUGAAACCAUAUGCUUACAAGGAGUCGGAGCCCUUUCGGGGGUGACGGCGUGCCUAUUGAAGAAUGAGCCAACGAGUUGAUGUAUAUUGCGUGGCUAAGCCCUUGUCGGGUGGAGCCUUAGGGAAACCGAGUGUGAAUAGCGCGUUUGUAGUAUGCAUCAGACCCGAAGCCAGAUGAGCUUGCCAUGAGCAGGAUGAACUCUGUAGAAAUACAGAGGGAGGUCCGAACCGGUUGGCCGUGCGACACCAUCGGAUGACUUGUGGCAAGGAGUGAAAAGCUAAUCGAAUCUGGUAAUAGCUGGUUCUCUCCGAAAUAGUUUUUGGACUAGCGUCUCGCGUACCCUCUGGGGGUAGAGCACUGGAAGGACUGAACAGGGAGCAAUCUCGUCAGUCCUAUCAAACUCCGAAUACCAGAGAUUAAUUACGAGGCAGUAAGACUCCGGGGGCGAAGCUCCGGCGGUCAAAAGGGAAACAGCCCAGAUCUCAAGUUAAGGUCCCUAAAUCUAUGCUAAGUGCACUUAAGGAGGUGGAGUUUCUCAGACAGUGAGGAUGUUGGCUUAGAAGCAGCCAUCAUUUAAAGAAAGCGUAACAGCUCACUCACUAAGAGACUCUGCACCGAAGAUAAUCGGGGCUAAGCAUAGUACCGAAACUGAGGGUUUCAUCGUCUUUCGAGAUGAUGGAGCGGUAGGAGAGUGUUCUUGUCUGCACUGAAGGAGAAGCGUGAGCAACUCUGGAGCGUCAAGAAGUAAGAAUGUUGGCACAAGUAACCACAAUGUGGGUGAGAUCCCCACACGCCGUAAGACUAAGGUUUCCUUUGCGAUGUUGAUCAGCGAAGGGUUAGUCGGGCCUAAGGUGAUGGCGAAAGCCGGAGCCGAUGGACACAGGGUUAAUAUUCCCUGACUUCUUUUCCGUGCGAUGGAGUGACGAAGGCUAGUAUGUUUCGCGCAUUAUUGGAUUUGCGUCUGUUAAUAAGGGUGGUUCUUAGGUAAAUCCGGGAACCUGGUUUUAAUACCGCCUCCAAGUGAAGCAGAAAUCGUUAGGUUCGCCUAAUGGGAUGAGACAAAGCAGCUUUCCGAGAAAAGCUUCUAAGCAUAACGGAAAAGAAACCGUACCGAAAACCGACACAGGUGGUCGAGUCGAGUAGACUAAGGCGAACGAGUGAAUGCUUCUCAAGGAACUCGGCAAAAAAGCAGCCGUAACUUCGGGAUAAGGCUUGCCUCCACCACUUUGCAUUUAAAGUGGGGAGGUCUGAGAAUUGAGAAAAGGGUGCUGUUCUCUUAAUAAUUACCGUAACGAAAUUUAUGUUUUUCGUGCGAGACGAUGAGGAAAAUACGAAGCAUAUAGGUAUAUGCUGAAGAUUUUUCUCGAAGUCGUAGCCGAAAAAUAGAAAUUGCAGUAGGGAAUUAUUAAAGAAUAGUGCCAUAUCGAGAGACAAACCGUGCAUACAAUAGAGCUAUUGUAUGCACAAAAAAUGUUGUUCAAACUUUCUUGGACUCAACUACUUUGAAAAUAAAGUGGUGGAGGCCGCAGCGAAAGAUUCCCUGGCAACUGUUUACCAAAAACACAGCUCCAUGCGAACUCGUAAGAGGAUGUAUAUGGGGUGACGCCUGACCAAUGCCAGAAGGUUAAAUAUUGGUGGUGACUCCGCAAGGAUGAGCUGGCUGAUAUAAGCCCUGGUGAAUGUCGGCCGUAACUAUAACGGUCCUAAGGUAGCGUAAUUCCUUGUCUGGUAAGUUCAGACGUGCACGAAUGGCGUAAUGACUGGGGAACUGUCUCGAGAAGCAGCUCGGUGAAAAUACAAUACCGGUGAAGAUGCCGGUUACCUGCAGUUAGACGAAAAGACCCCGUGAGCUUUACUAUAGCUUGAUAUUGAAUAUGUUUUGUAUCUGCGUAGAAUAGGUGGAAGGAUUUGAAGCAACCUUUUCGGGGGUUGUGGAUCCGACAGUGAAAUACCACCCUUAUUCGAGGCAUAUUCUAACCUAUACGGAAAAAACGUAAGGGGACAGUAUCUGGCAGGUAGUUUGAGUGGGGCGCUCUCCUCCUAAAAAGUAACGGAGGAGUCUAUUAAGGUCCUCUAGGCGCGAAUGGAAACCGUGCCGAUAGCGUAAUGGCAAAAGAGGGCUUAACUGCAAGACGGGCAUGUCAAGCAGGUGCGAAAGCAGAGCAUAGUGAACCGACGAUUCGCUUUAGACGCGGUCGAAGAUUAACGGAUAAAAGCUACCACGGGGAUAACAGGCUAGUUCCGCCCAAGAGUUCAUAUCGACGGCGGAGUUCGGCACCUCGAUGUCGGCUCAUCUUAUCCUGGAGGUGGAGAAGCUUCCAAGGGUUUGGCUGUUCGCCAAUUAAAAAGAUACGUGAGCUGGGUUCAAACCGUAGAGGAGUGAAUUAUAAAGAUAGUGCGAUUAUCUUCUUUAUAAUUGACUUCUCUUAGUUUGAACCCGAGGCGAUGAGACUAAACUCAUCAACAAUGACAUCAUAAUCACGGCGGCUGAAUACAGUGAUGUAUUCAGACAAGCUGACUAAUAUCGGGAAAAUCCUAACGAGCAAUCGAAGGACAAUUCCGAGGGAAGCAAUGGAGAACAUUGUACCCGUAGAGACUAAACGUCAGCACCCUUACGUAAAAGUAAGGCGAUGCUAUAGUCCGAUCCCUCUCGUAAGAGAGGUUCAUACAGGUUGGGGACCAAAGUAUGAUGUAAAACAUGAGUGCGUGAGACAGGUUGGUCUCCUAUCUACUGCAGGCGUUGAAUUUUGAGGGGAUUUGCUCCUAGUACGAGAGGACCGGAGUGAACUGACCUCUGGUGUGGCUGCUGUCCUGCCAAGGGCACCGCAGCGUAGCUAUGUCGGGAAUAGAUAACCUCUGAAAGCAUCUAAGAGGGAAACUAACCCCAAGAUCAGAAUUCGUUUGAGGCCCGUGAGAGAUGAUCACGUUGAUAGGCUCUAGGUGUAAGGCGAGUAAUCGCUUCAGCCGAGGAGUACUAAUACGCCGAUUCUUACUGGG